rnacentral:rRNA from 1 species
GGUGAACGCUGGCGGUAGGCCUAACACAUGCAAGUCGAACGGCAGCACAGUAAGAGCUUGCUCUUACGGGUGGCGAGUGGCGGACGGGUGAGGAAUACAUCGGAAUCUACUUUUUCGUGGGGGAUAACGUAGGGAAACUUAAGCUAAUACCGCAUACGACCUACGGGUGAAAGCAGGGGAUCUUCGGACCUUGCGCGAUUGAAUGAGCCGAUGUCGGAUUAGCUAGUUGGCGGGGUAAAGGCCCACCAAGGCGACGAUCCGUAGCUGGUCUGAGAGGAUGAUCAGCCACACUGGAACUGAGACACGGUCCAGACUCCUACGGGAGGCAGCAGUGGGGAAUAUUGGACAAUGGGCGCAAGCCUGAUCCAGCCAUACCGCGUGGGUGAAGAAGGCCUUCGGGUUGUAAAGCCCUUUUGUUGGGAAAGAAAAGCAGCAGGUUAAUACCCCGCUGUUCUGACGGUACCCAAAGAAUAAGCACCGGCUAACUUCGUG